rnacentral:lncRNA from 1 species
GAUAGGAACGGAGGAGGUGGAGAGGAAAGACAAAAGAGGGAACAGAGGACAAAAAGUAUGUUACACCUAGGGGUGGGCACUCAAACCGGCGAACAGGAAAUCCGAGCCGAACCGUACCGAACCAAACCGAAAAAAAACCGAGUUGACCAAAAAGUCAAAAACUGGUCAAAAACCGAACCGGACCGGUUUGGACCGGUUCCG